GCCAGUGUGGCAUAGCAGUUUGAGUAUUGGACUAUCACUCUGGAGACCAGGGUUCGAAUCCCUGUGUUGGCC